rnacentral:rRNA from 1 species
AAUCAACGCUGGCGGCGUGCCUAACACAUGCAAGUCGAACGCAAAAGUGGAGCAAUCCAUGAGUAGAGUGGCAAACGGGUGAGUAACACGUGGACGACCUGCCUUCGAGUGGGGGAUAACCUUCCGAAAGGAGGGCUAAUACCGCAUGACAUACCGCGUUUCGAUACGCGGAUAUCAAAGCUGGGGAUCGUAAGACCUGGCGCUUGAAGAGGGGCCCGCGUCCGAUUAGCUAGUUGGUGAGGUAAUGGCUCACCAAGGCUCCGAUCGGUAUCCGGCCUGAGAGGGCGGACGGACACACUGGAACUGAGACACGGUCCAGACUCCUACGGGAGGCAGCAGUGGGGAAUUGUUCGCAAUGGGCGAAAGCCUGACGACGCAACGCCGCGUGGAGGAUGAAGAAUUUCGGUUCGUAAACUCCUUUCGACCGAGAUGAACAUCCGUUGACUUAAUACGUCGACGGACUGACAGUAUCGAGAGAAGAAGCCCCGGCUAACUCCGUGCCAGCAGCCGCGGUAAUACGGGGGGGGCAAGCGUUGUUCGGAAUUACUGGGCGUAAAGGGUUCGUAGGUGGCCAUUUAAGUCAGACGUGAAAUCCCUCAGCUUAACUGGGGAACUGCGUCUGAAACU